CGCAGCUCUGUCCAGACCUUCUGGCUUCUGUGGUGGGAAAUGGUCCCACUGCAUCCAUAAAUGACCAGGGACAGGUGGACCCUGAGGACAUCAGGCUGCUGUCAGGAAGGGACCUGGUUGCUGAAUAGCCUCGGGUGACAAAGGGACGUUUCAGACACCUGGACAUGAUCUGACUGAGCUGUCUCUGGGACAUGCAUCCUGGCAGGGUGUGUGUGUGCGUGUGUGUGUGUGUGCAUGCAUGCAUGUGUGUGUGCAUGAGUGUGUGUGCAUGCAUGCAUGUGUGUGUUCAUAUGUGUGCAUGUGUGUGUGUGUGCACAUGAGUGUCAUUUAAAAAGCUGUGGCAGAUCUGAGUUGACGCAUUAGCCCUUUCUCACCCAGCCCCUUCCCAACCAAAGGGAUGACAGCGGAGGGUGCAGUCUGGCAGGUUUGUCCACUUGGGUUUUCAGGUCAUGACCUGGUUCACAGACUACUCUCUAGUCUAAUAAACUGACCAGUGGCCGGUUCCACACUCUGCCGUUGUGACCCCGUGACAAUGUCACCUAUAUUCGAGAUCCUUCCAAGAUCUUCCCCGAGCUGCAUGUGGCUGUGCUGAUGGACACGGAAUUUCGUAGUGAUUUCUUCUGGAGACUCGGAUCAUUGUUGAUGCUGCUUCUCCAGGGAGACAGGCUUGCGAGGGUGAUAUGUUCCUCCUGUGUAAGUGACGUAUGUGGACAUGGUGGGCCUUGUGUUCAUGUCAGAGGAACGUCUUGUUCAGGGUCACUCAGCUGCCAAGGGGACUGUCCGGGUUCCACUUCAGAUCUGCCCUCUAGAGCCUGGCUCCUUCUUGGGACAACCACCUCCUCUGCCACCUGUGACGGCACCACCCAGGACACCAGGUCAAGGUCUGGGGUGGCCACCACAGUAAUUCAGGCUUCCAGAGAUGAGCCUCCACCCACGGCCCUGCCAGGGCUUCUAGGGUCCGUUCUCCAGCCGAGGACUGGCAGGUAUCCACACAUGCGGAGGGCCAGCAGCUCGGAAACAGGGUCUCCACGCUCCCUGGAACAUGGUGAGUUAGCUGCCUGGGAGCUCUGGUCGCAUAGGAACAAUGCCGAGGCUUUAAACUGGGAAAAAACUGAGAUCUCGACCAGCCCCUCAGGUAAACCCCCCGAAGUCGGAAGUGGGCACCGGCUGCACCAGCAGUAACAGUGUGACGGGAAGCAAGGUCGCGUCCAGGGACGUCCUUGGAUGUUUCCUCCAUUUAAAAUGACUUUCAUCUUACAGAAAGUGGAAUGUUCUGUAUUAUUGCAUCAUAGUAGAAUACGAAGCACCAUCACUCCCUUGGCUUAAUGACACUGGCACUGAUAUUUUGGAAAUAAUGAUUUUUCCUAGUUUAGAAUGUAAAAGGUAUUAUUAUAGAAACGUCGUUCACAAGCUCCUCACUCAGAGGGUGCCUGUGAUAACAAUUGAGUAUCUUCACAUGAAGUUGGAAGGACGUUGUAUGUGUUUACCCGGCUUUCCACUCAACGUGCAGCGUGCACACGGUCCUGUCACAGAAGUCCUGAGGAGAUGAGAGAUGGUACCCGUCCUGGGCAUGAGUCCUGGUUUCCGGUGGGUUUUGUAUUCCGAGCACCUCCUGUGUGCCCCGUGUCUGCAGCCCCAGAAUUACUGUGUAAUCUCCAUCUGUGAGAGGCUGUCUCCCCAGUGCGGCUGGCUGUGCUCUUUUCUUAGGAAUCCUUCCAAGUCAUGGGGCUUUUGAAAAUACAAAUAGGUCUUGCUGCAGCCUAGACGCAUGUGGUGGGAACUGUGUGUGUCCUCAAGGGCAGGCUGUAAGCAUAAUGAGAAGAAGCACACCACACAGUUCCAUUUAUAGGACCUUCAAACACAGGCAUGGCUCAGCGAUCGCCGCUGGAGGAGGACAUUUACGUUAAAGCUACAAAGUGCAGAGGAAUCAUCGUCACAGACGUCGACAGCGUCACCGUUAGGAGGAAGGAAAUAAGAUGGGCAGGUCCAGUUGCUGGUGACAUUCUCCGUCAUAACUCCAGGAGAAGUACCUUUUCCCCCGUCUAAAUACUGCGUUAUAAUCUAUGUUUAAAUCAUACAUAGAUGUUUAAGGCACCAUUUUGUAGAUAUGGUAGUUUAAAAGUAGAUGUUAAAUGUAGAUAUUUCAGUUUAAAAGUAGUUUAAAUUUUUUUAGAGAAAUGUUUCUGGGAGCUUUUUGUUCUUCUAAUGUUAUUUUACUAAUGUAUCAGAAUAAGGGUAGUUCUUAUCCACUAACUAUAUGUCCUGACACGAGGACUGUUCAUGGCCGCUGGACCGCAUCCCAUCUGCGGGAGUUCACACUCCGACUGGAAGGCCUGGGACGCUACCACAUCAGUCUGUGCUGCGGUUUCUUCUUCUUAGAUGAAUCAACAGGGUCCCUACUCAGAGUCGGGAAAGUGCCUUAGAGUGAGCACCCUCCGAUGCUCGUGAGCUGGUCCAACAAGGAGCUCCAUGUGGUCACUCUGACCUGAGGGAAGUCUCUAAGCAACAGGAUUUUUCCCUGUGGGACGUAAUUCUGCACCUGCCCAAGGUGAAAUUAAGCGAGAGCUCUCACGGAUGCUGGCGUGUGAGAGCCACUGCUCACAGCCCCGGCACAAUCGCUCCCUGUAGCAAGAACCAGCCCAGAGCCACCAGGCUGCUUUUGGUGCACCUGCCCUCUUCGGGGCCUGGGGAUGCGGUGGCCCCAGCUCGGUCUUGGAAUUGCUCUGCCCUCCUAUUCCUGGGCACCACACACAAAACCCCCAGCCAUGCACAGCUGCUGAUGCCAUGCAGCAUCAUUUUUCAAAAUAAAGCCAAUUGCCAGGCUGGAUUUCAGAAAUUCCCUGACGGGCCUGGCAAAAAGUGACCCCCAGGCUCCCGCAGGUGUGUGAGGGGGCCAGAGAGCAGAGGUGCAGACGGCCAAGGCCAGAAGUGGCUGCAGGUGGGAAUCAGCCAGCAGAUGGCCCUCCCUGGAAGCUCCUUCUCACUCGACUAACGCCAGUGGAGUUUUCACAGGUGACUUGCCCUUCUUCAACUCCUCACGCAAUCUCAUGAAGCCAAAACAUGGGCACUUUGUGAGUCUGUCUUGGCAGGAGUUUCACUGGACCUUUCUGGAGCACCUCCUUCCCACAGGCCCGCGGUGGAGGCACUGGGGACAGGCAACGAGGUCCCUGUCCUGGGGCAGCCGCUCCAGUGCAAGACUCAGGAGGCAGGAGGAGGGCUGCUUCCUGCCUGGAGUGGGAGCCCGGGAGAAGGAAAAGGAAGCCUAUGGGCUACCACCAGGAGGACAGAUCAGACAAACCCCAGAGGGCCUGUGCCGGGCAUCACUGUGCCUAUAAAAACAAGGCCCUGAGGCUUCAUGGAGCCACGGAGAACUUGGCCCCUGGGAUGUGAGGACUCUUGCAGCUCAAGAACCUUCUCAGAGAUGAGCAACCAAAGGGGUGUGCACCAGACCCCGGUUUAAUCUUUCCCACUUCCAAAUAUUAUGACGCUUUAAAAAUAGGAUUGGUCCCUCAAAGGCUAUAGCAUUCUUGAGUAGAAUUAGUCGCCGCAGUCCCAACCUCUGUCAGACUUUCCUUCUCAGAAUCAAACGCCAGUAGGACAUGGGGUAUUUCAUCAAAAGAUCAGAGAGGGACACAGAUUUCAGGAGACAGGCUGGGAGCUGGCACCGAUGGAAACCAGCUGUGGGAACAGGCUCAUUAUCUUCUCCUGCUUUUGUGUGUGCCUGGAAAUGUCCAUAAUAAGCAGAAAGAAUAAGAAAAAGGAAAAGAAAGGAAAAUGACAAUUACUGCUGUUCCUGCGAAAGAAAACUAAGCCUUAACCACCCUUCCUUCUCUCUCUCAAGCCACCUCGCCCAUGGCCUGCAGUUUUGUCUCUUUGUGUCUGCUUUCGCAUUUCCCCCACUGUCCUUUACUUGAUCUGUUGCAGAAUUUGUGGGAGAAGUUUGACGGGAGCCAACAGUGUCCCUGGGUUCCCGGAAACAGCAGUGCCCCAGCUUGGAAUCAGCCAGGACCACGGACAGCGGUGAGCCCACGGCUGCUCUGCACACGUCCCUCUCCCCACGUGACCCCACACCUCACAGCUCUGCGCUGGGAGAAGCAGGAACUCCAGCAAGCUCUCUGACGGUGUCACAGCCCUUCCUGAAACACAGCUUUUAACUUUUCACUCCAUCCACGAACUCUGCAAGAACUCAGAGCUGGGACAGCCUUGCGAAAUGCGCAGGACCGCGGAUUCCCCUGAUGCUGGCCUGAAGCACAGGCUGCGCGGCCCCUGCUGCGGAGGAGGGUGCAGAAAGCAGCGAGUGAGCAUCAGGCUCUGCUGACUGUCACGUGGGACGUCACGCAGCAGUCGGAUCGUGGGACACAGAAAGAAAGACCUUCCUGACUUCCCUUUGGUCUCUAUUAGAAAGUGAUAUUUAUUGUAUUUUAGGCCAAUUAGACAGAUGAUUUCAUUAGAAUGGCUUCUUAAAAAAUGGGUAUAGACGUUCUCCUAAAUUAAAAAUGUCUAUUUAAGUUUCAAACGUCUUUUUAAUUUUUUUAAACAAGAUACUAUAGACACAUCUUGAAAUUUAUAAUCUAAA
rnacentral:lncRNA from 1 species